rnacentral:rRNA from 1 species
UACGUAGGGCGCAAGCGUUGUCCGGAAUUAUUGGGCGUAAAGAGCUCGUAGGCGGCUUGUCACGUCGAUUGUGAAAGCCCGGGGCUUAACCCCGGGUCUGCAGUGGAUACGGGCAGGCUAGAGGUAGGUAGGGGAGAAUGGAAUUCCCGGUGUAGCGGUGAAAUGCGCAGAUAUCAGGAGGAAUACCGAUGGCGAAGGCAGGUCUCUGGGCUGACACUGACGCUCAUGCACGAAAGCGUGGGGAGCAAACAGG